CGCGACUCUUAGGGCCACGUGACCCAAUUGCUAGUUUAAAUAGUGACGUAGCCUUGGAACCUGGCGUGCCUUUGAUACGCUUUUAAAAACCGUUUGUCACCAUGACGUAUCAAAGGUUUCUUGCCUCUGUGUGGGUAUUUCCACUGUCUCCACCAUCUUGGCCAACUCCUUGAAAUCCACCCAGAAGUUGCAGAGAAAUGUGUGAAGAGGAGCGGAUGGGGAGCAUAUGGGGUUGAAUAAUGCGCCCAAAUUGGAACAGAUGCAAGAGAAGCCUUCAUGGCCUACUGUGGAGAGGGAUCACUGCCAAGGCAGCACAUGGUCAUGUCCUACCCAGAACUGACCCUCAACGGCUCUUUUAAGAGCCACCCAUAAAAAUCUAAGAGCCUAGUGUCCAUAUUUACUUAUAUAUUUUGUGUAGCAGACUUUAUACUGAACCAAUUGAAUGAUUAAAAUCUAGAUAUUUCUUCCUUGUAACAGUCCAAAUCCAUAUUUUGCAUUGUUGUGUGCCAUUCACCUGUCUCCCUGUAGUUUGCAGAAAACGGCUGCUUGGACUCUUGCUGCAUCCAGUUUCAAGUUAAUCACAAGUUAACUAGAUGCACAUUCAAGCUAGGCCCUAAUUACAGGAUAGGAUGAAUGGAAGUAAACACACUGCCAACAACG